rnacentral:lncRNA from 1 species
AAUUAGGAAAUGCAAUAUAGCUCAGUAAGCCUUAUUCCUAUUAUCACAGAAACCAAGCUUUGUAGUAUAUUCACUGCUGCAGGAGAAAGUGUAAGGAGAAAUUAAUGGUUUGAUUCUAAUUUUUUUUUUUUUUUUUUUUUUUACCAGUGGCAGAUAUGUUUUUGAAUUAUUAAUCUGUGUUUUCUUUGCUGUAUGUUUGGUCUUCCAUCUCAAAAGAGAUCUUAGGGAUUUUUGCCAUAGCAAUUUGCAGAGGAUUCACAAGAUAAAGACAUGAACUGGAUUUAUCAGACCAAGGAAGGGAAAACUAGCAGGAAGAGGCAGGAUUUCCACCCCUAGAAAUGGAAAGGGGGUUGCAGUUGGGAAGUGAGUGUCUUGCAAACAGUGGGAACUUUGGCCUUUAUGAAGGAGCAGCACCCAAGAAAUUUAGAUAUCAAAGGAGAAGCUAUCAAGUACCCCUCUGAAAGCAGGACCCCAGGGUAAGGGGACAGCAACCCCACAAAAGGGUCUUGGGCUCCAAUGUUAAAAUAGAAGAAGAGGGUCACAUGGUUUCAGGUAGUAUGCACAUCAACAGAAAGUCCUAUCUCAAGGAUUCAAUUCAAUAACUACUGUAAUAAACAAACUCUAGGGGUAGGGAAGCCUCAGUAUUGACCAAAAUUGUUUUUAUUUUAAGCAACCUAACUGUUUGAGGGUUUGGGGUGAAGUUUACUAGAAAUAAGGAAAAUAAAGAAAAAAUAUUUCUUCCAACUCUGAGACUGAGGACUUGGAUGCAUGUCUCCUACAUGCAAAAUGGGUGGAAAUUAACCCACAUGGACUCCGAAAAAGCAUUUUGCAUUGAGAAAAAUUACUUCAAUGGAAAGAACAUUAUCCCCUUUGUUCUUCCCACUGCCUGCUUAAUAAUUCCUGAAGCUCCAGUCUGCUGUGACAAGCAAGGCUGGAUUUGACUACUCAUUCCCCUUUUUUGACCUUGGGGUCCCAUUGCUCAUGAAUUCCUGACGUUAAAUAUUUCUGUCAGGCAGCGCUGUUUCAAGAAGACUUCAAGUUUUAACAAAACUGAAUUAAAUAUUCAACCAAGAGUAUCUCCCUUCUGUGAGUAAAGAUAU